rnacentral:lncRNA from 10 species
GAAAAUCACUAAAAGCACUUGGAUUUUUAUUCAUACGAAACUCCUUGGUGCCCGCAUGUAGAAUCUAUUCUUUCAUUCUAUCUGGUUCACACUCAUAUCAAAUCUAUUUCCUUUUUUAGCUUUGGACUAUCCAGAAAACUCAAUUAUUAUACAUACUAACAUAUUCCCUCAGGGGUCCAUAUAGUUGUGAUUUUCCUGAAGUUUUCAAGUCAGGGAGGAUAUACUAAUCGUAGAUAAACUAUCUUAUUUUUAUACUUUAUUCUUUCACUUUUUUUGCUUUGCCUCCUUCUUUCGAAGUCAGUUUUAGGCACUAUAUCGCACAGUUUAUACUUUGAAACUCAUCUUAGUUUUCUAUUGAUUUACACUUCAAUCCUGCAUUUGGUCUGUGUGGUGCUUUCCCAAGGCGCAGGGUGGUAACACAGAACUCUUUCUUGAUUUCUCUUUUGCCUUUACCUUUGGUCUCAACACUUGGACUGGUCCUGUAAUUUUGUUUCUCUUUUUGCAAUCCCUAUCCAGAAUCACUGGAGGUCAAAUGUCUUUGCCAAUUUGAGUUUUUCCACUUGAACAAGAAAAGACUGUCAAGGGAAAGCCAAUCAAUUUCACAAUGUUUAGGAUUGGGCAACAAAUAAAUCGAGUGUAAAAGAAGUCUGAUUCCUCAUUGCUGACAGGAAGACAGCCAUGGAUUGGGAAAAGAUUAGAGUGAAUCCUGUGAUGUUGGAUUGGGAUUGAAGAUACCGAAAAUAAACUCCUGGAUCCAUAUUUCACACCUUAAGAAAGCACUCCAACCCCCAAGGGCAUCAACUUCAACAGGAAAACUGACCCUUCAACUUACCAAAUCUUUGAAGUGACUAGUUGUAUAGUACAACAAGCAGAAAAUUUGCUAUGGAGGUUGUGUUAACUGUUGACAUUUAUGUGAGAUUUUUGCUGCAUAUUUGUUAGAAAAGGCUCAACAAAAUUAUAAUAAACAAUGAUUGUGUUAUUAAUUUUUUAACUGUUAUAUCAGUUAUAAAUGCUUGGAAUGAAAAUGCCUUAAGGAAAUUAGUCAAUAAUGUCACAUAUGUUACUUUUUCUAAUUGGAUCUGCCAUGAUUGCUAUAAAACUUUGUCCUUCCACUAUGACUCAUGAGUAACUUCAAUAACAAACUGCUUGGGAAUUCCCAAUGCCACAGUAGAACUAGUAUAUGCAAACAUUAUUUAUUAUCAGGGUGCACAUAAAGGGAAACUAGGACAAAAACCUACCCUGUUUCAAUUUGAUCUUGUUCUCUUAAGCAUGGAAAAAGAAUACUUGUUGCUAUAACUCAACAACUAAAACUCUUGUUUCUCAGGAGAAAAUGCAAAAAGAAAACCAGUUUAUUUGUCAUUUUUGGUUUUGCAAAUGCUAAUCAAAGUUGGUCUUUAUGCAAUGCAAUUUUUCCCACUCUUAAAACUGACUGAUAACAGCAAAUCAGACUGAACCUAAAAAUGACUCCUUCAAAAGUACUAAAAGCCUGUGUGCUUAUGUUUAUAUAUUUGUCUGUGAAUGGGGACCAAAUCCUUUUAUAUGCUGGGGAAGAAAAUUCCUUGACUCUUGGUCAUUAGCAAGUCAGUGUACUUGGGUGCUCAUGUCACUAAAAUACCUCAUUUAUCCCUCCAAUAACACCUUCUUCUGGCCAGAAGGAUUAUAUUUAUCCUGUUUCAAAAGGGAAAAUCCUGGAGCACCUGAGGCAUAAAUAUGUCAUCUUCUGCCCAAUUAGUGUUUUUUUGUUUGUUUGUUUGCUUUGCCUGGAGUAGAACAUGGAGAAAUAUGAUCAUGAUUACUGAUUUCUCUCAAAUCCUAGGCAACCUAGCUGAUACGGUUUAUCUCUGUGUCCCCACCCAAAUCUCAUCUCAAAUUGUAAUCCCCACAUGUUGAGGGAGGGGAGUGAUUGGAUUAUGGGGGCUGUUUCCCUCAUGCUGUUCUUGUGAUAGUGAGUGAAUUCUCAUAAGAUCUGAUGGUUUUAUAAAUGGUAUUUUUUCCUGUGUGCUCGCUUCUGUCUCCUGCCACCAUGUGAAGAAGGUCCUUCCUUCCCCUUCACCUUCCACCAUGAUUGUAAGUUUCCUGAGGCUUCUCCAGAUGUGUGGAACUGUGAGUCAAUUAAACCUUCUUCCUUUAUAAAUUACACAGUCUUUGGAAGUUCUUUAUAGCAGUGUGAAAAUGUACUAAUACACUAACCUAUUCAACUGUCAAAGUUAUUGCCACUCAGUAAUAAUCUUUAAAUUCAUUAGCAGCAACUGUAUUAAAUAACAGAAUUACUCUAGAUUAUCUGUUGGCAGUACAGGGAAAUGUUUGUGGGAUAGUUAACAACUUACGUUAUACUUGGGAAAAUGCCUCUGAAGUAGUUGAACUGGAGCUCAAUAAAAUUAGUUUAGGCAGGUCGGCUAAGACAAGUGCCAUCUAUUGGUAAGCCAUCCUUUGACUUAUUUAGUUGUUACCAGAAAGGAUACAUUCCUUGACUAGAUCCCUGUUACAACUUAGUAUCAUUAUAACAUUAUUGUUUCUUUUUUAAAACUGUUCACUAAGUUCUUGGAAAACAUUAUUGUUUCUGAUAAUUUUGUUGAUCUGUAAGUAUUUGUCUCAAUGCUUAGAACAAGCACUAAUGCUGCCCACUGAUUUGAUGUUGGCCCAGAUUCCUGUAGCCUGUUCUGAACAUCCAGAAGGAACUUACAGCACCUAGAAUUAUAAGCUUGACUGAGUCUAUGAAAUAGCUUGUAAAUUCACUUCCCUGUGAGCCAGGGACCCAGAACAGAUAGUCUUACUUCACCCUGGCUUUUGCAGGACAAGAUGGAGCUCAUACAGCAUUGAUUUCGUCAGUGUCUAGGGACCUGUGGUGAUCACAGAUAUUCUCUCCUGGGAGAAAUAUCUUGAUCAAAUGAGGGAAAUGUGAGCUUAUCAAUGUUCCACACUUGCCAUCAGUAAUUUCAUCUUUGUCUACUGACUUCACAUUAAUACUGCCGAUGAACUUUGAGAUCUACAAAGUAACACUUCCUUCACAAAUAUUUGUACUCUCAACAGUACACACUAUAAAGAAACCGGUCACUAUCUUUAAGAACUUUAUAUAUAUAGCUUUUCUGACAAACUGAUGUAAUUUAUUCACGUUUAAUCAACUAAUGAAAUAAUCUGACAAACAAUAUAUGUAAACUAAAUAAGUUUUUCUCAAUGUAAGCCCUCUUUCCUCUUUCAGGUGGUGCAGUCUCUGGCUGCUAACUGGGUUGUAAUCCCUGUUCCUGAAUAAAUGUUUAUUUGCCUCUAGCCUGUUCAU